GAUGAACGCUGGCGGCGUGCCUAAUACAUGCAAGUCGAGCGAACAGACGAGGAGCUUGCUCCUUCGACGUUAGCGGCGGACGGGUGAGUAACACGUAGGUAACCUACCUAUAAGACUGGGAUAACUUCGGGAAACCGGAGCUAAUACCGGAUAAUAUUUCGAACCGCAUGGUUCGAUAGUGAAAGAUGGCUUUGCUAUCACUUAUAGAUGGACCUGCGCCGUAUUAGCUAGUUGGUAAGGUAACGGCUUACCAAGGCAACGAUACGUAGCCGACCUGAGAGGGUGAUCGGCCACACUGGAACUGAGACACGGUCCAGACUCCUACGGGAGGCAGCAGUAGGGAAUCUUCCGCAAUGGGCGAAAGCCUGACGGAGCAACGCCGCGUGAGUGAUGAAGGUCUUCGGAUCGUAAAACUCUGCUAUUAGGGAAGAACAAACGUGUAAGUAACUGUGCACGUCUUGACGGUACCUAAUCAGAAAGCCACGGCUAACUACGUG
rnacentral:rRNA from 1 species